rnacentral:rRNA from 1 species
UACGUAGGGUGCAAGCGUUGUCCGGAAUUAUUGGGCGUAAAGCGCGUGUAGGCGGCUUGGCAAGUCGGGUGUGAAAUCCCUCAGCUCAACUGAGGAAGUGCGCCCGAAACUGCUUUGCUUGAGUGCCGGAGAGGGUGGCGGAAUUCCCCAAGUAGAGGUGAAAUUCGUAGAUAUGGGGAGGAACACCGGUGGCGAAGGCGGCCACCUGGACGGUAACUGACGCUGAGACGCGAAAGCGUGGGGAGCAAACAGG